AACGAACGCUGGCGGCAGGCUUAACACAUGCAAGUCGAGCGCAUCCUUCGGGGUGAGCGGCAGACGGGUGAGUAACGCGUGGGAACGUACCCUUUCCUACGGAAUAGCUCAGGGAAACUGGAAUUAAUACCGUAUACGCCCUUAGGGGGAAAGAUUUAUCGGGGAAGGAUCGGCCCGCGUUGGAUUAGCUAGUUGGUGGGGUAAAGGCCUACCAAGGCGACGAUCCAUAGCUGGUCUGAGAGGAUGAUCAGCCACAUUGGGACUGAGACACGGCCCAAACUCCUACGGGAGGCAGCAGUGGGGAAUAUUGGACAAUGGGCGCAAGCCUGAUGCAGCCAUGCCGCGUGAGUGAUGAAGGCCUUAGGGUUGUAAAGCUCUUUCAGUGGGGAAGAUAAUGACGGUACCUACAGAAGAAGCCCCGGCUAACUUCGUGCCAGCCGCCGCGGUAA
rnacentral:rRNA from 1 species